GAGUAAGAGAACAGCUGCUCUGAUGUGCAAGCCUUGAGCUGCUCCUGCUUCUGGAAGAGACUCUGCCCAAAGACAGGAGCUCCCAUAAGAACAGGGCUAAGACCAGGGCAUGUGUGACUGACCAACUCCAUAGCCCACAGGCCCAGGUGGGAGGGUGCCAUAGAGGAAAAAAGGCACGUAGACCACCACUAAGAGAGAAAUUCAGAUACCCAGGUUGCACCUCAGCAGCUGUGUGAUAAGGGGAAACUGCUUUCCCUCUUUGGGCUUUUGUUUGUUUAUCCACAUUGAAAGCAGAACCAAGCAAGGAAAUAAAGCAGAGACAAUGGCAUGGCUCCAUUUGUUCCAUGGUGCUCCUUUAAGCAUAAGGACAACAGCUGUACUCGUGCACCCCGAGACAUUCAGUGAGCAGUCUAUGAUGUGCAGUAAACAAGGCCUGACCCCAAAGUACAUGGUGUACGAAUGGAAGUACUAAGGAAGGCAAAGUAGGAAGAAGUAGUAGAGAGAAGAGAGUAUUAUUCCAUUGACUCUAUAUCCAAUGGCUUCUAUAUCCAGUUAUCUGUCCUUGGGUAUUUGAGAGAGUGCUUAAAACAUACAAAAAUGGAAAUGAAUACCUUGUCACCUGGUAAUACCACCCCCGGGCUUCUAUGUAAAAGGAGCACUAAUUAAAAAGGACAUAUGCACCCUUGUGUUCAUAGCUGCAUUAUUUUCAAUUGCCAGAACAGACUAUAGAAAUCAUUAAACUGGGAGUCGGGCUGUAGUGCAGCGGGCUAAGCGCAGGUGGCGCAAAGCACAAGGACCGGCAUAAGGAUCCCGGUUCGAACCCCGGCUCCCCACCUGCAGGGGAGUCGCUUCACAGGCAGUGAAGCAGGUCUACAGGUGUCUAUCUUUCUCUCCUCCUCUCUGUCUUCCCCUCCCUCUCUCCAUUUCUCUCUGUCCUAUCCAACAACAACAACAACAACAAUAAUAAUAACUACAACAAUAAAACAACAAGGGCAACAAAAGGGAAUAAAUAAAUAAAAUAAAUAUUAAAAAAAGAUUAAAAAAAAAGAAAUCAUUAAACUGCUAUGGGAUUAAAUGUAAGCUUUCAGCUAAUCCAAGUACAGGUAGUACAAUUUCCUUUUUCUCUUUCUAGCCUUGUGAAGUUGGGAUCACAGAAUAAAAACCCAUGUUUAGACUUAAUGUUUGCAAUACAAGUCUUCUUGCCAAGGAGUAGCUCAGGCUGUGGUAGACAAGAGUAAAGGGUGACUGCAAGCCCACA